rnacentral:lncRNA from 1 species
AUGCCUUACAAUAGAAGAACAAGGUCAGAUGAUUUAUGUAUACCUUCUAAGAAAAACAAUAAUAAUUCAUUUAUGUCUCAAAAUGUUAGUAAGAUGAAAUUUAGUAAUAAAUUGUAUAUAAGAGAGAAGGAUAAUAGUACUUAUAACAUAUAUAAUGGAAACAUAGAUAAUACCUAUAAAAACAAUUUUAUUAAUAAAUAUGACGAUAAUAUAAAAGUAUAUCCAAAUUUUAUUAACAAUCAACAAUUAAAUAAUCAUACAAAUAACUUUUUUCCACAUAUAACAAAACAAACAUAUCCUUAUUUUGAAUUAUUAAACCAUAAAAACAAUUACAAUUUUUCAAUUAUCAAUACAUUUCAUAAUAACAAUAAUAUUAAUGAUAAUAAAUAUAUAUCAAUGGUAAAUAUAACGAAUUCAAACAUAGUACAGACUAAUUCUAACAAUUUUACAAAUAUUAACAGAAGAUGUAGAAGUGGUGACAAUACAAUAACAAAUCUUUAUAGUAACAAAAUUAAUACCAUCUCAUGUAGUAAUCCGAUUAAUAAUAGUAAUAAUAAGAAAAGAGAUUUGUCAUUAAAUUUGCAUAGAUCUGUAUGUGGCUCUGUAUGUAGCUCUGUCUGUAGCUCUGUAUGUAGCUCUGUAUGUAGCUCUGUAUGUAGCUCUGUAUGUGGCCCUGUAUGUAGCUCUGUAUGUGGCCCUGUAUGUAAUAAUAUGCACAACAAUUCAAGUUACGACGUAUGUAACGACACAAACAACCAUAUAUUAUAUACAAUAAACAAUAAUAAUAAAAAAUAUAAUCAGAUAAAUGUUACAAAUAAAACGAAUUAUAAUGAUACAUGUGAUAAAGGUAAAGAUAUGGAUAUUUUACUAUACUUAACCGAAUAUAGACUUACAAAUUUAUUAAAAAAAAAUAAACCAACAAAAAAAAUAAAACGAAUGAAAAAGAAAAUAUAUAACAAUUUAUAUCAAUUAGUUACACAAUUAUUUAACAAAAAUAUAAAUAUAUAUACAGUAGGAUCAACCGCAUAUGGUAUCGAUUCAAAAACUAGUGACCUUGAUGUUGUUAUUCAAGCAAAUACAUAUGAUCCAAAAUUUAUCCUUCAUGUUAUAUACAAUUUUAUAAAUAAAUUGAAAACAUGUUCUAAUAAAACUGAUAUUAAUUGUUAUGUUUCUACAACCACAUCUGUUGGUACUGAUCCUAUUACCACUGAUCGUAUCAUUAUUGAUCGCACCAAUACUGAUCGUACCAUUAUUGAUCGCACCAAUACUGAUCGCACCAUUAUUGAUCGCACCAAUACUGAUCGCACCAAUACUGAUCGUACCAUUAUUGAUCGCACCAAUACUGAUCGCACCAUUACUGAUCCCAUCACUACUAAUUCCAUCACUACUAAUUCCAUCACUACUAAUUCCAUCACUACUGACCCUAUUACUACAAAAACCAUGGCUUUUGAAACACGUACUAAACAAAAUAAAACCUUAUCUUCAUUUUUCCGAAAUACAAAAUUACAACUAAUUGAUUCUGCAAGAGUCCCAAUUCUUACUCUUUCAAAAAAAAAAAUUGUUUGUGAUGUUUCCGUUAAUACAUAUAAUUCAUUAAAGCAUACAGAAUUUUUAUUAGAUGUAUUUAAAUCUUAUCCGCAAUUAAAAAAUGUAAUGAUGGUAAUAAAAUUAUUGUUUAAAAAUAGAACCUUACCUUCAAUGAAACAAGGUGGUUUACCUACCAUUUUAUGGGUCAUGUUAGUAGUACAUUAUUGUAAAAUAUCAACAGGAGAAAAAGGAUUUUACGAAAUUAAUAAUUCAGAUAAAAAAAAAAAAAAAAGUUUCUUAUAUAGUUACUUAAAAAAUGAAUUAAAUAAACACACUAAAAAAGAACAAUAUAGUUUGGAUAAAUGUAGUAACGUCUUUAUUGAUCCUGGCCAUCCUAANNNNNNNNNNCAUCUUGACAAUCCUAACCAUCUUGACAAUCCUAACCAUCUUGACGAUUAUACAAUAAACAAGAAUAAUGAUAACCUUAUCGAACAUAAUCAUAAAAAUUAUUUUACUUUUUUUUAUUCAAUUACGAAUCAAAUGUUUUUAAAUAAUAAUUAUAGUAACAAAUACAAUGAAGUUUCUAAACAUAACAAAUUAAUAAAUGGUUCGGUAAAUCAUCUUUCUAAAUUGGAUAAAAAAAAAAAAAUAAAUAUAACACACAAUAGCAGUGACAGUAACAGUAAAAGUAACAGUAAAAGUAACAGUAAAAGUAACAGUAAUAAUAAAAAGGGGAACGAACCAACUGAUGUAAUCAUACCGAACAAUAUAGCCACACCAGGUAAACCUACCUGUUCAAAUUAUCCAGACUUCUCUUUUACUCAAUUGAACAAAAAAAAUAUACUAAAAAGAAUAUAUAUUAAUAACAAACUAUUAUUAAAAAUGGAAAAAGAAAUUAGGUUAAAAAAUAAAGAGGCGAACGAUAACAUCCUUCAUCCACAUCAAACGUUAAAAAGUAAUAAUAAUAUAAAUUAUAAUACACGAAAAAUGUUAAACAUAAAUGUAAAUACUCUUAUAAACACAUGUCCAACUUUUUAUGCUAUAAUGUUAUUAUUUAAUGCUUUAAAUUCAAGAAAAAAACUAACUAAAAUUAUUAACGUAAUAAAUGCAGAAAAAUGUUAUAAUAAAAAUAAGCAUGAGAACGAUGUACAAGUGUUAUCACCUCUAUGUCGUACUGGUGUAUGGGAUGAAUUAUUAGUUUUAUAUGAUCCAAUUUAUUGUAGUAAUUAUGAUCAUUAUAUGUACAGAAAAAAUAAGUUACAUUUAUUUCAUCACCAUCCUAAUCAUUUUUAUAAACGAGAAACAUGUCCAGGUUUAUUCGCAUCUGAACCAAUAACAAAAUCAACACCAACGGAUAACAUCAAUAAUGUAAACAAUAGAAAUGGUGGAAAAAAUAGAAAUGGUGGAAAAAAUAGAAGUGGUGGAAAAAAUAGAAGUGGUGGAAAAAAUAGAAGUGGUGAUACAGAUAUUACUACUCGUAUAGAAUCCAGUUAUAAUCAUAAUCGUACCAAAAGUACCAGAUCUGAUGACGAUAAUAUUUAUAUCGAACCAAACCAAACCGGUUACAAAAAAAUAAAAAAAAAAAAUUCUGACAAUAAGAAUGGAAAUAGCGAUAAAAAUGACAAUAGCGAUAAAAAUGACAAUAGAGAUAAAAAUGGCAAUAGCGAUAAAANNNNNNNNNNAACGAUAAAAAUGGAAAUAACGAUAAAAAUGGAAAUAACGAUAAAAACGAAGAAAAUAAAACAAUGA